AUUGAACGCUGGCGGCAGGCCUAACACAUGCAAGUCGAACGGUAACAGGAAGAAGCUUGCUUCUUUGCUGACGAGUGGCGGACGGGUGAGUAAUGUCUGGGAAACUGCCUGAUGGAGGGGGAUAACUACUGGAAACGGUAGCUAAUACCGCAUAACGUCGCAAGACCAAAGAGGGGGACCUUCGGGCCUCUUGCCAUCGGAUGUGCCCAGAUGGGAUUAGCUUGUUGGUGGGGUAACGGCUCACCAAGGCGACGAUCCCUAGCUGGUCUGAGAGGAUGACCAGCCACACUGGAACUGAGACACGGUCCAGACUCCUACGGGGGGCAGCAGUGGGGAAUAUUGCACAAUGGGCGCAAGCCUGAUGCAGCCAUGCCGCGUGUAUGAAGAAGGCCUUCGGGUUGUAAAGUACUUUCAGCGGGGAGGAAGGGAGUAAAGUUAAUACCUUUGCUCAUUGACGUUACCCGCAGAAGAAGCACCGGCUAACUCCGUG
rnacentral:rRNA from 1 species